GUGAGGAAUUUUCCGCAAUGGGCGAAAGCCUGACGGAGCAAUGCCGCGUGAAGGAUGAAGGCCUAUGGGUUGUAAACUUCUUUUCUCAGAAAAGAAUUAUGACGGUAUCUGAGGAAUAAGCAUCGGCUAACUCUGUGCCAGCAGCCGCGGUAAGACAGAGGAUGCAAGCGUUAUCCGGAAUGAUUGGGCGUAAAGCGUCUGUAGGUUGUUUAAAAAGUAUUCUGUCAAAGAUUAGGGCUUAACCCUAGAUAGGCAGAAUAAACUUUUAAGCUAGAGUUUGGUAGAGGCAGAGGGAAUUCCCGGUGGAGCGGUGAGAUGCGUAGAUAUCGGGAGGAACACCAAAGGCGAAGGCACUCUGCUGGGCCAAUACUAACACUGAGAGACGAAAGCGAGGGGAGCAAAUGGGAUUAGAUACCCCGGUAGUCC
rnacentral:rRNA from 1 species